rnacentral:rRNA from 1 species
UACGUAGGGACCGAGCGUUGUCCGGAAUUAUUGGGCGUAAAGAGCUCGUAGGCGGUUUGUCGCGUCGAAUGUGAAAACCCGGGGCUCAACCCCGGGCCUGCAUUCGAUACGGGCAGACUAGAGUUCGGUAGGGGAGUCUGGAAUUCCUGGUGUAGCGGUGAAAUGCGCAGAUAUCAGGAGGAACACCGGUGGCGAAGGCGGGACUCUGGGCCGAUACUGACGCUGAGGAGCGAAAGCGUGGGGAGCAAACAGG